rnacentral:rRNA from 1 species
GGGGAAAGAUUUAUCGCCGAAAGAUCGGCCCGCGUCUGAUUAGCUAGUUGGUGAGGUAAUGGCUCACCAAGGCGACGAUCAGUAGCUGGUCUGAGAGGAUGAUCAGCCACAUUGGGACUGAGACACGGCCCAAACUCCUACGGGAGGCAGCAGUGGGGAAUAUUGGACAAUGGGGGCAACCCUGAUCCAGCCAUGCCGCGUGAGUGAUGAAGGCCCUAGGGUUGUAAAGCUCUUUUGUGCGGGAAGAUAAUGACGGUACCGCAAGAAUAAGCCCCGGCUAACUUCGUGCCAGCAGCCGCGGUAAUACGAAGGGGGCUAGCGUUGCUCGGAAUCACUGGGCGUAAAGGGUGCGUAGGCGGGUCUUUAAGUCAGGGGCGAAAUCCUGGAGCUCAACUCCAGAACUGCCUUUGAUACUGAAGAUCUUGAGUUCGGGAGAGGUGAGUGGAACUGCGAGUGUAGAGGUGAAAUUCGUAGAUAUUCGCAAGAACACCAGUGGCGAAGGCGGCUCACUGGCCCGAUACUGACGCUGAGGCACGAAAGC